rnacentral:rRNA from 1 species
AGUAAUGUCUGGGAAACUGCCUGAUGAGGGGGGAUAACUACUGGAAACGGUAGCUAAUACCGCAUAACGUCGCAAGACCAAAGUGGGGGACCUUCGGGCCUCAUGCCAUCAGAUGUGCCCAGAUGGGAUUAGCUAGUAGGUGGGGUAACGGCUCACCUAGGCGACGAUCCCUAGCUGGUCUGAGAGGAUGACCAGCCACACUGGAACUGAGACACGGUCCAG